AGAAGCAGCUAAACCACUGGAAUAGAGAGAUUCGCCUCAUGGAAUAUAAGGAAAAGAUGCACAAGCGCAACGGCUUUCGCGCUAGUUGCUCAAUCCGUUGCUUGCUUCUCUUCUGUCUUGGAAAAGUGAGGAUUUCCUAUCUGAUCCAAGGGAAGGAAGAGAGGUGGAAAGUGGAUCCGCCGGGGUGAGUGAUUUUCUUAGGACUGUCAAAAGAGCUCAAGUUUGGCUGAUAGCGAACUCCACCAAACGUGAUACCCUCCCCAAUGGGGGAUUGACCCGAGUAUUUAGUCAUAUUCUUCUUAGGAGGCUCCCUUCAGCUUGUGAAUCUAUUCUAGGAUCAAUGCAUAUACUCAGACAGGUUCGAUCUGGCUUAAGCUUCAAUCCGUCUAAAU
rnacentral:lncRNA from 1 species